ACACGGUAGACGCGCUACAGUCAGGUCAUUAUCUGUUGUUGUCACCCACCUAUACCGUGGCGUGAUGCUUUGUAGGGUCAAGCCGUGGAACAGUCACUGGUAAAAGUCAGAUUGAGUGAAACAUACCUUGAACCAGAACAUAAAUGUGACUUCUUGUCGUGUCUUAGGAAUAGCUUCUUUUUAUGUGGUAGCAAAAUAAAAUAAACACAUGGGUGUCCCCCAUACAAAAAGAA